rnacentral:rRNA from 1 species
GUACACGCUGUGACUAGCAUAUCAAUAAGCGGAGGAAAAGAAACUAACAAGGAUUCCCCUCAGUAACGGCGAGUGAAGCGGGAAGAGCUCAAAUUUGAAAUCUUCAAGGUUUUACCUUGACGAAUUGUAGUUUAAAGAAGCGUUUUCUGUUGAAGUUUUGGUAAAAGUUCUUUGGGAAUAGGACAUCAUAGAGGGUGAGAAUCCCGUAUUUGACCAUUAUUUUCAGCUGUGUGAUACACUUUCAAAGAGUCGGGAUUGUUUGGGAAUGCAGUCCAAAAUGGGUAGGUAAAUUUCAUCUAAAGCUAAAUAUUGGCGAGAGACCGAUAGCGAACAAGUACCGUGAGGGAAAGAUGAAAAGAACUUUGAAAAGAGAGUUAAACAGUACGUGAAAUUGUCAAAAGGGAAGCGUUUGACACCAGUGUUGUUUUCUCGAAAAUCAAUUAAAAAAAGUUGGAUUUUGUGUUGUAUUGACCUUAACAGCUUUCUUCACUCUUUUCCUGCUUUUUUUAAUGCACUUUUCGUUUAACAAGUCAACAUCAGUUUCUUUUGUUGUAAAAGGGUCAUUGGAAGGUGGCUUUCUUUUCGGAGAAAGUGUUUAUAGCCUUUGGCCUCUGCAAUCGAAGAGACUGAGGUCUGCAGCGUAGACUCUUCGGGGUUAGAUACAUUUGUGCUAAGUUAUAGCUUUUUAUAGACAACUUGUUGACUAUAAUUAGUCUUGUAGCUUACUCGCUUAUGCUAUUUUACCUACGCUUAGGAUGUUGACGCAUGAGAUAUACGC